UACAGAGGGGGCAAGCGUUGUUCGGAAUUACUGGGCGUAAAGGGCGCGUAGGCGGCCUGCUAAGUCGAACGUGAAAUCCCCGGGCUCAACCCGGGAACUGCGUCCGAUACUGGUUGGCUUGAAUCCGGGAGAGGGAUGUGGAAUUCCAGGUGUAGCGGUGAAAUGCGUAGAUAUCUGGAGGAACACCGGUGGCGAAGGCGGCAUCCUGGACCGGCAUUGACGCUGAGGCGCGAAAGCCAGGGGAGCAAACGGG
rnacentral:rRNA from 1 species